UACGAAGGGGGCUAGCGUUGCUCGGAAUCACUGGGCGUAAAGGGUGCGUAGGCGGGUUUUUAAGUCAGGGGUGAAAUCCUGGAGCUCAACUCCAGAACUGCCUUUGAUACUGAAGAUCUCGAGUCCGGGAGAGGUGAGUGGAACUGCGAGUGUAGAGGUGAAAUUCGUAGAUAUUCGCAAGAACACCAGUGGCGAAGGCGACGUGCUGGGUUGCACCUGACGCUGAGAUGCGAAAGUGUGGGGAGCAAACGGG
rnacentral:rRNA from 1 species